rnacentral:rRNA from 1 species
AACGAACGCUGGCGGCAGGCCUAACACAUGCAAGUCGAGCGCCCGCAAGGGAGCGGCAGACGGGUGAGUAACGCGUGGGAAACUACCCCGAGGUACGGAACAACUCGGCGAAAGCUGAGCUGAUACCGUAUGUGACCGAGAGGUGAAAGAUUUAUCGCCUCGGGAUGUGCCCGCGUAGGAUUAGCUAGUUGGUGGGGUAAUGGCCUACCAAGGCGACGAUCCUUAGCUGGUCUGAGAGGAUGAUCAGCCACACUGGGACUGAGACACGGCCCAGACUCCUACGGGAGGCAGCAGUGGGGAAUAUUGGACAAUGGGCGCAAGCCUGAUCCAGCCAUGCCGCGUGAGUGAUGAAGGCCUUAGGGUUGUAAAGCUCUUCCGCCCGCGAAGAUAAUGACGGUAGCGGGAGAAGAAGCCCCGGCUAACUUCGUGCCAGCAGCCGCCGUAAGAC